rnacentral:rRNA from 1 species
UGGGGAAUUUUGGACAAUGGGCGAAAGCCUGAUCCAGCAAUGCCGCGUGUGUGAAGAAGGCCUUCGGGUUGUAAAGCACUUUUGUCCGGAAAGAAAUCCUUGGCUCUAAUACAGUCGGGGGAUGACGGUACCGGAAGAAUAAGCACCGGCUAACUACGUGCCAGCAGCCGCGGUAAUACGUAGGGUGCAAGCGUUAAUCGGAAUUACUGGGCGUAAAGCGUGCGCAGGCGGUUUACUAAGACCGAUGUGAAAUCCCCGGGCUCAACCUGGGAACUGCAUUGGUGACUGGCAGGCUAGAGUAUGGCAGAGGGGGGUAGAAUUCCACGUGUAGCAGUGAAAUGCGUAGAGAUGUGGAGGAAUACCGAUGGCGAAGGCAGCCCCCUGGGCCAAUACUGACGCUCAUGCACGAAAGCGUGGGGGAGCAAACAGGAUUAGAUACCCUGGUAGUCCACGCCCUAAACGAUGUCAACUAGUUGUUGGGGAUUCAUUUCCUUAGUAACGUAGCUAACGCGUGAAGUUGACCGCCUGGGGAGUACGGUCGCAAGAUUAAAACUCAAAGGAAUUGACGGGGU